rnacentral:rRNA from 1 species
GUCGUCAGCUCGUGUUGUGAAAUGUUGGGUUAAGUCCCGCAACGAGCGCAACCCUUAUCCUUUGUUGCCAGCGGUUAGGCCGGGAACUCAAAGGAGACUGCCAGUGAUAAACUGGAGGAAGGUGGGGAUGACGUCAAGUCAUCAUGGCCCUUACGACCAGGGCUACACACGUGCUACAAUGGCGCAUACAAAGAGAAGCGACCUCGCGAGAGCAAGCGGACCUCAUAAAGUGCGUCGUAGUCCGGAUUGGAGUCUGCAACUCGACUCCAUGAAGUCGGAAUCGCUAGUAAUCGUGGAUCAGAAUGCCACGGUGAAUACGUUCCCGGGCCUUGUACACACCGCCCGUCACACCAUGGGAGUGGGUUGCAAAAGAAGUAGGUAGCUUAACCUUCGGGAGGGCGCUUACCACUUUGUGAUUCAUGACUGGGGUGAAGUCGUAACAAGGUAACCGUAGGGGAACCUGCGGUUGGAUCACCUCCUUACCUGAAAGAA